rnacentral:rRNA from 1 species
UACAGAGGUCUCAAGCGUUGUUCGGAUUCAUUGGGCGUAAAGGGCUCGUAGGCGGCCAACUAAGUCGGACGUGAAAUCCCCAGGCUCAACCUGGGAACUGCGUCUGAUACUGGAUGGCUUGAAUCCGGGAGAGGGAUGCAGAAUUCCAGGUGUAGCGGUGAAAUGCGUAGAUAUCUGGAGGAACACCGGUGGCGAAGGCGGAUCUCUGGGCCUUACCUGACGCUCAGGCGCGAAAGCUAGGGGAGCGAACAGG